UACGGAGGGUGCGAGCGUUGUCCGGAAUCAUUGGGCGUAAAGGGCGCGUAGGUGGCCCGGUCAGUCUUUGGUGAAAGCGCGGGGCUCAACCCUGCGUCGGCCAGGGAUACUGCCGCGGCUCGAGCACUGUAGAGGCAAGCGGAAUUCCGGGUGUAGCGGUGGAAUGCGUAGAGAUCCGGAGGAACACCAGUGGCGAAGGCGGCUUUCUGGGCCUUACCUGACGCUGAGACGCGAAAGCGUGGGGAGCGAACCGG
rnacentral:rRNA from 1 species